UCCCUUCUCUCUCGCUCGCUCUCUCUACUGCUCUGCGAAGGUCCCCUCUCUCCCUUUGCCCUCUCUACUGCUCUGCGAAGUUCCCCUCAGUCUCUUUGCGCUGCUGCCCACAUUCUCUCUGUGAACUUCCCAGACGCUUUAGAGAGAGAAGAAGCUUCUUCAUGGAGGUUUUAGUGAAGAGAUGGAAAGCCAAAUCGCGAGGAGGAGGAUGUACCAAAUUGCAUGCCACCUCUUAGCUAUUGAAGAACUUCCAGUCCAUCAUGUCUUUCCUGUGGUUUAUGCGAGAUGAGCUUUUGUCUCAAGUAUUGGAGGCUCUUCUUGUCAUCCGGGGUCUUGUAGUACAAAAAACAAAAUUGAUAAGUGAUUGCAAUCGGCUAUUGAAUGUAUCUCUUGGACAGUCUUCUGCUUGAGAGUAGUGAAAACAAGCCCCAUUUCAUACAAACUUGCAUUUCUGGUUUGCAGAUCCUUGGAGAAGAAAGAAAGGGACGAAAAUCUAUGUGGGAGGACAUCCACCGUAGCACAGAGCUCUUGAGGCAUUCGGGUCCCUAUGAAAGUAUUGUCGAAUCCCAUUAGAGGAGCCUUAGGAGAACAAUGCAAAUGAUGAUGUACUUGGGGACAUUGGAGAGAGUAGCUCUCGUUCGGAGGAUCAGAUCCCUACACCGCCCAUUACUACACCAGCGCUAACAGAGGAGGUUGGACGGGUAUACUAUGCUUGUGUCAUGGAUGCCUCAACAUCAGCAUCUCCUUCCUCUCCCCUCAACAUUACUAAUUCAAAAAAUGGGAAUGAGUGUGGUGCUCAGGCUACAGUGGAUGAAGCUUGCCAUGAUUUUCCAUCUGAUGAGGACAUAGUUGCAAUAAAUGGAGAAGGAGAUCCGUUACUUAUAGAUACUGAGGCAGCCCUAGCAAGUGGUGCAAGUAUUGAACCGGCAAUAGGAAUGGCAUUUACUGACGAAGAUAAUAAGUACGCAAUAUUGGUAGGGUUUGGUAUAAGAAAGGGAAGUACCAUAUGGAAACAUGGUGGAAGAAUUAGUCGGAUUUUAGGAUGCUGUAGGCAAGGUUUUCGUAGUGAGAUGUAUGAUGGGAGUGAAAAUGCUCGCCGCCACACAAAAUGUGGAUGUCAGGCAAAGAUCCGCGUAAGAAGAAUGAGAAUAAUAAAUGGGUUAUUGCGAAGGUUGUAAAAGAACAUAAUCAUAUUCUCACAAUGCCCAACAAGACUAGAUUCAUUCGCUCUCAUUGGAAGAUACCAUACACAGUGAAAAUGGUGAUUGACACACUGGAGUUUUUUAUGGCUAAGUCUAGGGUUAUGAUGGAUUACCUUAUUGAAGAGGCCAGUGGGGCAUAAAAUGUUACAUUCAUUGAGAAAGAUCUUGAGAAUCACAUAACUAGAAAAAGAAAACAACUGAAAGGGAAAGCGGGUAAUGUUGUUGUGAAUUGGUUGCAUACGAAAAAUGAAAUGGACCCUAAUUUCUUUUAUAGAGUUCAACUUGAUGAGAUGGGGAGGUUGUUUGGUGUUUUAUGGGUUGAUUCCAAGUGUAGAUUGUCAUACCAACUUUUUAAUGACGUGGUAACCUUUGACACCACAUACCAAACAAAUGAAUACAAUAUGCCCUUUGGACCAAUCCUUGGAGUUAAUCUUCAUGUUAACACAAUUUUCCUCGGGUGUGCUCUCAUCUUCAAUGAGACUACAAAAACGUUCAUUUGGUUAUCUGAGAACUGGCUAGAGGCAAUGAGAGGCCGCCAACCAGGUACAAUUAUCACUGAUCAAGCUUUAGCGAUAACGGCUGCAGUCAAGGUAGUGUUCCCGAAUACUAAUCAUCAUUAUUGCAAGUGGCACAUCAUGGGAAAGUUUAAAACACAUCGAAGCCAUGUUGAGUGUGCGCACCCAUUAUUCUUAGACGUAUUCAAGAAGUGUAUUGCAGCUUACACAGUUGAGCAGUUUGAGGUUGAUUGGUUGGUUAUGAUUCAGAAAUAUGAUCUUCAAGAGGAAAGUUGGCUCUAGUGGUUAUAUGGUUGUCUCACUCAAUGGGUUGAUGCAUACAUAGCUGAUAGGUUCACAGCUGGCAUGAAAACCACACAACGAAGUGAAGGGUUUAAUCGUCAUUUAAAGAUGUACGUCACUUCUGGUUCAGGUUUACAAAAAUUCAUGAAUGCUAUUGAAAAGUUGCAAAACAAGAAGUUCAUCAAAGAAAAUGAGAAAGACAGUAAAUAUCUUACACUACACCUGUUCUAAAGACAACCUUCCUUAUCAGGGAGCAUGCAACAUAGACAUACACUCAAAAAGUAUUUAGAAAGUUCCAAGAGGAGGUGGUAAGGUCUUCAAAUCGCCUUAGCAAAUUAAUAGAAGGCAAUGAUGAAUUUGCCAAAUAUAAGGUGGAAGACAUUGGCGGUGUAGCAAUCCCUCGGACGGUUACAUUCAUUGAAUUAGGGAAGAAGUGUACAUGCACAUGUCAGUUCUUUGAGCAUGUUGGGAUCCCUUGUUCACACAUGCUCAAAGUGUUCAAUAUAUAAUGAGGAAUGUAUUGAAGAUCCCAUCUAACUACAUUUUGAGCCGUUGGACAAUGGAUGCAAAGAAGGGUGUCAAAGACAAAUGUGGUGCUAGUAGUUCGACUAUAUCUAAAUUUUCGAGUUUCAUUCGACGUCAUGAGCUUUAUGACCUGGUGAGAACAAUUGUAGAGCCAGCAUUAGAAAAUGAUGAUUUAUUUGAAAAAGUGAACUUGGGUUUCUCCAAGUUAGCUACGGAGGCCAAUGCAACAAGAGUCUUUGUCGAAUACUCAUGCACCAUCAGCCUCCACUCAUUGCAGUGCCGUUAAAGAUGAAGUAUGUGGCAGUAUUAGAUCCCCUUAUACUCGAUCCACCAUAUACACGAGCAGUUGGACAACCAAGGACUAAAAGGAUAAAACCUUCAUGGGAGGAAGGGCCAAAAGCUUCUACGUUGAAAAAACAACCGAAGGAAGGGCCACCCAUUGGAAGGAAGUGUAAACUUUGCAAUAAAAGUGGACAUGACAAACGUAACUGUCUCGUGAGGCGCAUGGGAUGUAGAGCUACUGAGGACCUCGAAACGAGUUGACUAAUUUUUUGACUAAUUUAUGGGGAAUGUAAAGGACUUCAGUAAUUUUUUGAUUUUUGGAGACAUGUAAAUACCCAUUUUUGUAGAAGUAUUUGGGGGUUAUGUGAAUAUUCAAUAUUCAUGUAAUUUUGUGGGCAUGUAAAGGACCGCUUUAUGGGGGCAUGUAAAGGACCUCUUUAUGGGGCAUCUAAAGUCUAAAGAACCUAUUUGGUGAUUUUUUGGUAACAUAUGUGUGACAUUGAUUUCUUUUCCAUGUAUGUCAUUAAUGUGUGCAAUGUGGGUUUUACUUCGAUAAUGAAAUGCAUUUAUAUCCCUACAGUUCUCACUUUAUUUUAUUUUUUAUGUCGAGCGUAUGCUACAAUCUCACCUUUUACCACACCGGAGGGCGUGCAGAAAAAAGAACCUGAGAAUUUCAUUCACAAAAGAUUAUGUGUGUUUUAUUGUAGUUGAUGACCAGAUAUCUCUCUCUCUCUCUCUGUUUAUGUCUGUCCCAAACAAAAAAAAAAAAAAAACUGAUUAAUACCAGAAACCAGAGAAUUUCAUUCACAAAAGAUUACCAUUAAUUCAACAACGACCAAUUACAACCAUUUACAAACCCCUGGAUUGCCAUUAAUUAAAUAAUGACUAAUUACAAUCAUUAACAAACCAUUGGAAAGAUACAAGGAGGUCAAACACCUCAUGAAAUAGGAAAAAAGAUACCACCCUUUUCGAUGGUGGCUGGUUCUCCAAUUUUGCAAAUGCGGCUCAAAGUGUUAUAUCAGCACUUCCAUGGCAGCUUGUUCUCCAUAUGUUAGAUAUUCGACCCACCAUCUCAUUGUUUCAUUGCUGCUUUGCUGAUUUUUUUAGACCAGAAGGGUGGGAAAGCCGCUCUAAGAACAUCAAGAGUACCCUUCUUGCUUGCUCACCAGUCCCCCGAGCUUGUGCCAUCAUUGGAAGCAGCAAGCACACUCUCUAAGAUGCCAAUGUCACUCUCAUUAGCCUCCAUUAUCAAGCUCUCAACAAUCAAGAGCAUGCCUUCUGCAGGCUCCACAACGUCGACGAAGAAGGCACACCUAGCUGUCUCCAAGAGGAGGCCCAAUGCACCUAGCUGUAAUAAGGCACACCUGUUCUCCCCAAUGAAGAAGCCAAAGAGAGAGAACACCAGGAAGGCGGAGAAGCAAGCAGCUGCGAUGUCGAGAGAAGCAUGUGUACCAUUAAUGCCUUGAAUUUCAAAGAGAUUAGUGGUCUUGUUCUUGUUGGUGGUUUAGCCAUAGGCCAAUUCAUUGUCUUGAGAAUCUAAGGCAUAUGCUCUAAUGAUAUAAGUAGCACUAGGAAUAUCUCUCUCUAUGAGCCAAGAGACAGUGGUUGUUGAGUUGUUGGGGUUGUAAGGUUGAGCUGCUAUCUUGAAUUGGCAUGUCUUAUCUUUCUUGAGAUCAUCCACAGUCUUCCUCCAUGCCCUGUCCUAUUGGCUCAAAGGUGCAUGACAAAGCUUCAUCUUUAUCUUCUUAUAUUAUUGGUCUGUUCCAUGAGGGAGAGACUGGUUCGAGGACCAUGAGGGAGAGACUGGUUAGUACAUAAAAAAACUGCACACAUUUAGCACUUUUGUGUGUUAUUUCUGAUUGGUACAUAAAAAACUUCACAUUUAACACUUCUUACAUAAUAAAGGUUAACAUACGAAAAAAAAAACACUUACAUAAUAAUAGAUGUGUUUCAAUAGGUCAAUAGCCCAUCAUGAGGUAUUUCCAAACAAUCAUCCAGCAGGCCACAUGCAUAUACACAACUUUCAAUGCAACCAAAAUCACACUUUAACUAUACACAAGACAUGCCAUUCAACAAGUUGAAACAUUGUCAAUGAUCAUAACAAAUUUUAUCUUUCUUGUUGGGUUGUAAAAUUAGGUUAGACAGAGAAAUAAAAACCUGAAAAACUAGUUAAAUAUAUGUUUCCACAAAGAAUUAAAAGUUAUACCUGAUGUAUAACAAUAGUUCUAUGGUGAAAAAACUUUUUUUAUGAUGAUAGAGAACAAGUACAACCAAGCAGCCACAUCCAUUCCCAAAGCAAAAGCCAGCUGCCACAUGAAGUCCAGCAUUUUCUCAAAUAUAUAGUUGUAAGAAUGCCAAUGUUGCUCUUCGAGCCAAUAGCAGUCUACAAGGCUACAAGUCAUCUCAAGGCAAGCCAUGACUCUCUGUAGUCAAAAGCCCCCAAAUGGACACAUGAGCUUCAGCGUUGAGGCAUUCCAGGAGAUUACCACCAAGAUCGGGGUUGGUGCAGGCAGCAACUCUAGGCACCUGCCUAGACCACUGCUCAAUGCUCAGCUGUGCAUAUAGACCAUGCAGACCUCAAAGAACUCCUGGUCUCCUAAUUAUCUUGAGUCUUUUUAUUACUAUGUUGUGGUCCUAAAUCCAUUUUACCACAACAAUGAUCACCUCUCAAAGACUGAACUUAGAGAUAAAGCACAAAGGGAAAAGCUUCAAAGAACGCAAUAAAAGGUAAUAUGCAAGAGUAAUACAGGGCCUCUUUGGACAAAACAUUUGACAACUUUGUGUAGAGAAAUUGGAGUAGUCCCAUGAACCUCAAUGAAUUUCUGGUCAAAGCCAUUAGUUCAACAAGUCAGUUGCUGACAGGCAAUAAAUAACCAAUGAUAGAGAUUGGUAUGAGAAGCAAUAUCCAGAUUAACCAAGCAUAAAACCUAGUCAUUAGAUGAUACUAAGUAUUCCAAUGGGCAGGUUAAAUGAAAAAGCCAAUAAACUCACUUGGUGAACCAAAGUACAAAAAGAAAAGUCCAAAAAAAUGAGAUCUUCAUAGUCGUAAAUCAAUAGCUUAUUUAAUUGCCUGAUGGUGGAACUUGAAGGUGUUUUCCAUAUAAUCCCUUCACACACAUGCCACGCACACACACAUGCAUGCACAUAUGCUUACACACAUGUACCGGUAUAUGUUUAUGUCAGCAUGUGUUUGCAUUUCUAUACAUAUGUAGCGCUUUUUCAGCAAGAGACUAUUGGAAAUUGGCCAGAUGUUCUCAUUUCCAGCCAGGAAAACACUCCACUGAAAAAAUAGGUGCUAACCAUUAUCAGUGUUCACCAAAAUGAAGAAGAAGAAGAA